AGUAAAUAAUAUUUUGUUGCAGAUACCAGCCGCGCCGGGGCAAUUCAUCCGUCAGGCAUGAAACCGGCCGGAGUUAUCAGACACGACGCGCACGUCCGACGCAUUACAUCUUAAUUUACGCGCAUUGAGCAGCGACAGCGAACCGCUAACAGUAAAUCUGUUUCAGUCGCCGAAGCCGAUUUAUUGUUACCGGUUCGAUUAUCCUCUCGCGACAUGCUGUGAACGCGCGUAAAUAAGGCGAGUCCAGCGGACGGCUCGACUUUUAGCGCCUUCGUCCGUGAACGAGCGAUUCUACGAGUACCGACAGUGUGUGCGCGAAUUGCCUCGUUUCGAGAGACGAGACAAGGUUGGCCGAUAGAAUUAUCGUCGGCGCUCCCGACGGAGUCGAGCCAAAAAUAUUUUCACGUGGCGAUCCGCGCGAUUUCAGCGUACGCGCAAAUUAACUCGCGCCAGAUUAGAAAUUCAAAAGAAGCUCUAUAUCGAUCUGUCUCUGCAUUAUCUCGACGACUCGCGGAUCCAGAUCGCGUUCCACGAUCAGCUUACACAACUGUCAGGUCAAGUAAAAUUAUAACGCGCCUCAUUAAGAUGCUUCCAGAAAUUGACGGUGCAAGAACAUUGGUGUUAUUCGAUGAAACGAGUCGUUUUACAUUGCUUGUAUGCUCGCUUCAAAUGGAACCAGAUCUCUCGUUUCGCUCGAAAUAGCCAGGAAUCAUCAAGAUAUCUAGCGACCGAGAAAACAAAGAAAAAUCGACGCGAAGAAAAGAUUUCGACCUCGGAGAAGUGCCCCGAGGUAUCGGAUUACGAUCAUCCCACGCGUCCAACUUUUAGCGUCUUCAUCUCCGGACGAGGGAUACACAGAGAGAAAGAAAGAGAGAGAGAAAGACAUCUCUUUCAUGCUGCACGAUGGUCUUGAUGUAGCGGUGGAUCUAAGCGGAAAAGCAAAACGUUUGUCUCAUCGAAACUCUUCAUUUCGGCAAAUGAUCCGAUAUGCAACAAUUCGAGAUCGUUGGAUAAAAAGCAGUCUGGGAUAAAUCGAGCGAGAGGAGACACACAGGAUCAAAAAGCAUUCUGUUAUACAUGUUAACGCAUCGUCCGUUCGCAUUAAGCGAACGAGGGAUGAAAAGGACGAGCGGACGAUUCACGGACUGAGAGAAAGCAGAUGGAAACGUCGGGAUUCUUGACGGGUCGGGAGUUUUUAAUCGCAUAAUUACACGUUGAAAUGAAUCGUCCGACUCUCGGAAAAGUCUGAGGAACGUCACUCGAGAGCGCUCAUUGUUUCAACGAACACGCCAAGUUUGUUUCAGGCAUCAUUCGAACCUGAAUCGCCGACAAUAGAGCAGAAUCAUACAAUCAAUUUCCGCAUUAUUUCAAUUUUCGGACCCCGGAAAUUUUGCACCCCUUCCUCAAGACAUGCUUUUCCGACGAUUCUAAUUUUUGCACUAGAGAGAGGAAGAGAGAGAUGUAUGGAUGCGGGCAGAGAUCCAACGGAAAAACGGAGUGACGCUCGAUCGACUGGCAAGACCGUCGGUCUCUUGGCGAAAUCUCCUUCUCGGCGUACACGUCGGCGGGCAUCCUCCACUAUCCCCCUCCCCAUAAAUCGCGUUUCGCUGCCAUCUCUUUCAUUGUCCAAUUGGUAAUAUCAGCCGCUAUUACGCUGUUGAAUACAUUUAAUAGACAAAAGAUUGGCAGCGGCUCUCAUCGCUGUCGCUCCCGCGCGACGGGCCCCCGCACUCUGAAUUUAGUCCGAGAAAAUAGCGUUUCGUACACCAUCGUCGGGAGAGUAUCGUUGCUGACGAUUCGGUAAUAGCGGCUUCGCAGCCCGGCUCGGCAUUCAAUGACCGGGCAAUUGGACAAUUGAGCUCAAUCAUAAUAACGUUCAUACGCAUAUCGUGCCACAGACCGUGUUUCGUCAACUCACCGACGUGUAGUAUUUAUUUACCGAAAUAUCAAUUCCGCGCGAAUAUCGGGGGUGAUCAAACGCGAUCGGGGAAAUGUUUCAACGGAGACUCCGGGUCGACGAUAUGCAUGUGAAUCUACGUCGGCCGACAUUUAAACUCCGUCGCGCCGAAAUGAGAUCCCGUAUUCGUUGCGUCGCGCGCGUUUACGCACGUGGUCGCCGAAAUUCUAACGAAAUCUCCACUUUCGAGCACGUACCAACUACGGAAUAUAGUAUAGUAGAAACCAUAGAGCGCCGUGUACAAAGCCGUGUCUGUUCGCCAGAUGUGGCGAGCCAAAAUUUUCGACCGCGCCUUUCUCGCCUCCUUUGACCAGCAGAUCCUCGGUUCGUGGAAAUCGACAUUUCCAUUGUUUAGAACAAUAAACUGAUGCCCACGUGCCACUCUCCCGUCGUCCGUCAAAUAUAUCGCGGUAUUACGCAAUGCUUUACGAUGGACGGGAAGGAGAGCGAUGUUCGCAAGUAUUCGACGAUCAACCUAAUGGAUCGAGAUUACCGGAAUUUCAGAUGUUACGUUGUUGAUGAUAAACGAUCCCCUUACGCGAAACUGUCGCAAAGAUAAACGAUCGUUGCGUGCAGCGCACGCUGCUGGUAAUUACGUCCGCGCGGGAUAUAAUUAUCGUCACGCCGAUGCUAAUUAAUUGCCGUACUUUCUCCGUCGCGGUUUUCGGAAGUGUGCUCGGUUUAUAAUUUUGGCGACCGAGCCAGUAAUGCAGUAUGCUUUGCCACGCUCUCUUUAAACAUUAACGACUGCAACAAAGUGCCAACGAUUACGAAUUAAGUGGUGGCGAUAAUAACGUAUGUGCGCGGCGUUUCUCAACGUGCACGACCAAGUUUCCCAAGAAUGCAAGCGCCGAUAAUUAAGUCGUAGUUACGAAGCUACUAAGAGCGACGUGACUGGAAAUAAACUAGGAUUAAACGUGGCAUGUGAAAGCUCGAUAAAGUCGACGUUUCUCGGUACGAGAUUUCACAAAAUUCCACCACGUAGCGUAAGUGUUUCAUUAACUCGAAAUGUAAUG
rnacentral:lncRNA from 1 species